rnacentral:rRNA from 1 species
GAUGAACGCUGGCGGCGUGCCUAAUACAUGCAAGUCGAGCGAACAGACGAGGAGCUUGCUCCUCUGACGUUAGCGGCGGACGGGUGAGUAACACGUGUAUAACCUACCUAUAAUACUGGGAUAACUUCGGGAAACCGGAGCUAAUACCGGAUAAUAUAUUGAACCGCAUGGUUCAAUAGUGAAAGACGGUUUUGCUGUCACUUAUAGAUGGAUCCGCGCCGCAUUAGCUAGUUGGUAAGGUAACGGCUUACCAAGGCAACGAUGCGUAGCCGACCUGAGAGGGUGAUCGGCCACACUGGAACUGAGACACGGUCCAGACUCCUACGGGAGGCAGCAGUAGGGAAUCUUCCGCAAUGGGCGAGAGCCUGACGGAGCAACGCCGCGUGAGUGAUGAAGGUCUUCGGAUCGUAAAACUCUGUUAUUAGGGAAGAACAAAUGUGUAAGUAACUAUGCACGUCUUGACGGUACCUAAUCAGAAAGCAACGGCUAACUACGUG